rnacentral:rRNA from 1 species
GACGAACGCUGGCGGCGUGCUUAACACAUGCAAGUCGAACGGAAAGGCCCUGCUUUUGUGGGGUGCUCGAGUGGCGAACGGGUGAGUAACACGUGAGUAACCUGCCCUUGACUUUGGGAUAACUUCAGGAAACUGGGGCUAAUACCGGAUAGGAGCUCCUGCUGCAUGGUGGGGGUUGGAAAGUUUCGGCGGUUGGGGAUGGACUCGCGGCUUAUCAGCUUGUUGGUGGGGUAGUGGCUUACCAAGGCUUUGACGGGUAGCCGGCCUGAGAGGGUGACCGGCGAGCGGGGGACAGACGUCGGGCCCACGUGGGCGGGGGAGGAGGGGGUGGGGUAUAGGAGCAGGGUGGGGGAGGGUGGAUGAAGCAGGGCGGGGUGGGGAUGGCGGGCUUUGGGGGUGACACCGCCGUGCGAGGGGGGAGAUGGGGGAGGGGGUGGGAGGGGAAAAGAAGCAGCGGCAAAUGACGUGCCAGCGGCGGGGGUAAGAGGGGGAGGUGCACGUGUGUGAAU